AACGAACGCUGGCGGCAGGCUUAACACAUGCAAGUCGAACGCCCCGCAAGGGGAGUGGCAGACGGGUGAGUAACGCGUGGGAACAUACCCUUUCCUGCGGAAUAGCUCUGGGAAACUGGAAUUAAUACCGCAUACGCCCUACGGGGGAAAGAUUUAUCGGGGAAGGAUUGGCCCGCGUUGGAUUAGCUAGUUGGUGGGGUAAAGGCCUACCAAGGCGACGAUCCAUAGCUGGUCUGAGAGGAUGAUCAGCCACAUUGGGACUGAGACACGGCCCAAACUCCUAUGGGAGGCAGCAGUGGGGAAUAUUGGACAAUGGGCGCAAGCCUGAUCCAGCCAUGCCGCGUGAGUGAUGAAGGCCUUAGGGUUGUAAAGCUCUUUCACCGGGGAAGAUAAUGACGGUACCCGGAGAAGAAGCCCCGGCUAACUUCGUGCCAGCCGCCGCAGUAACAC
rnacentral:rRNA from 1 species